rnacentral:sRNA from 1 species
GCCACUUAUUCCAUCAAAAUUGAGGGGAAACCAUACACUUUCCUGCUUGAAAAACAGUCAUUUUUACACCCACAUUUCCUGGUGUAUUUAUACAAUGAAUCAGGAACAUUGUAUGCAGAUUCUUCAUUUUCAAAGGGUCAUUGCUUUUACCAAGGAUAUGCUGCAGACAUUCCAAAAUCAGUUGUGGCACUACGCACCUGUUCUGGACUCAGGGGAUUACUGCAGUUAGAUAAUAUCAGUUAUGGUAUUGAACCACUGGAAUCUUCACCUACAUAUGAGCAUGUAGUUUAUCGAAUUAAAAAUGAUGCUAUUGGUCAUUCCUCCUUUCAAGAAAAUUAUCCUGUGGCUCAAUAUACAGAUCAGUCCUACAGGAUUCUUGUCAAAUCAGACACAAAUUCAGGUGCCAUGCUAUCGAAAAGAACUCUGAAAAUACAAAUCAUUAUGGAUAAAGCAAUGAGACAGGAUUUCACCAUGUUGGCCAGGCUAGUCUCAAACUUCUGACCUCAGGUUAUCUACCUGCCUCAGCCUCUCAAAGUGCUGGGAUUAGAAACCCACAAGGAGUCCAUUGGGGAAGACUGCCAAUAUGUCUGUUAGGGGAUACUUUAAGAACCUGUAAAAUCAACACAAGUUAUUUAUUUACAAGCACAGCAUACACAACCCCAUUUUGAAAAGGAGAAAUAGACAAGAAGAAAUGGGUAACAGGCCUCAAGCAAGUCUGAAACCCAAGAGAGCCAAUGAUGGACAUUCAGACUCCUGAAUAAUUUCCUUUGACAACAUGUCCUGCAUCUUCUAUAAACAGGCAUGCACUCAUAAAAAAUGCUGUAAUCCUGCAGAUUGUACUCUAGUUGGAGCUGCAGAAUGUGGCACUGGACCAUGCUGUAACAAUAAAACUUGUACGGCUUGUCGCUCCCAAGAAUGCAGAAAUUUUAGUGAACUAAAUAUAACAAAAUGUACUACAAAUUGUGGACAGAAUGGGGUGAUCCUGGUUAUGCUCCUCCAGAUUGUGAGCCAGCAAUGUCAUCACCAGGAGGAAGUAUCGAUGAUGGGUUUUGGCUUACAAUAG